rnacentral:tRNA from 1 species
GUCAUCGUGGCUGAGUGGUUACGGCGAUGAACUAAAAAUCCAUUGGGGUUUCCCCACGUAGGUUCGAAUCCUACUGGCGACG